GUGCUUGCUUCAGCAACACAUAUACCAAAAUAGGAACAAUGCAGAGAUUAGCAUGGCUCCUGCACAAAGAUAACACACAAAUUCAUGAAGUGUUCUAUUUUUUU
ensembl:snRNA U6 U6 spliceosomal RNA